CCUACGGGAGGGCAGCAGUGGGGAAUUUUGGACAAUGGGCGCAAGCCUGAUCCAGCAAUGCCGCGUGCAGGAUGAAGGCCUUCGGGUUGUAAACUGCUUUUGUACGGAACGAAACGGUCUGCCCUAAUACGGUGGGCUAAUGACGGUACCGUAAGAAUAAGCACCGGCUAACUACGUGCCAGCAGCCGCGGUAAUACGUAGGGUGCGAGCGUUAAUCGGAAUUACUGGGCGUAAAGCGUGCGCAGGCGGUUAUAUAAGACAGAUGUGAAAUCCCCGGGCUCAACCUGGGACCUGCAUUUGUGACUGUAUAGCUAGAGUACGGUAGAGGGGGAUGGAAUUCCGCGUGUAGCAGUGAAAUGCGUAGAUAUGCGGAGGAACACCGAUGGCGAAGGCAAUCCCCUGGACCUGUACUGACGCUCAUGCACGAAAGCGUGGGGAGCAAACAGGAUUAGAUACCCUGGUAGUCCACGCCCUAAACGAUGUCAACUGGUUGUUGGGUCUUCACUGACUCAGUAACGAAGCUAACGCGUGAAGUUGACCGCCUGGGGAGUACGGCCGCAAGGUUGAAACUUAAAGGAAUUGACGGCUGAGAGNGCGAGACGACGACGAGGGAGGAGG
rnacentral:rRNA from 1 species